rnacentral:rRNA from 1 species
CAGUAGCCGCGGUAAUACGUAGGGUGCAAGCGUUAAUCGGAAUUACUGGGCGUAAAGCGUGCGCAGGCGGUUCGCUAAGACAGAUGUGAAAUCCCCGGGCUUAACCUGGGAACUGCAUUUGUGACUGGCGGGCUAGAGUAUGGCAGAGGGGGGUAGAAUUCCACGUGUAGCAGUGAAAUGCGUAGAGACGUGGAGGAAUACCGAUGGCGAAGGCAGCCCCCUGGGCCAAUACUGACGCUCAUGCACGAAAGCGUGGGGAGCAAACAGGAUUAGAUACCCCAGUAGUCCCUGUCUCUUAUAA